AGAGUUNGAUCCUGGCUCAGAUUGAACGCUGGCGGCAGGCUUAACACAUGCAAGUCGAGCGGUAGCACAGGGGAGCUUGCUCCUCGGGUGACGAGCGGCGGACGGGUGAGUAAUGUCUGGGAAACUGCCUGAUGGAGGGGGAUAACUACUGGAAACGGUAGCUAAUACCGCAUAACGUCGCAAGACCAAAGAGGGGGACCUUCGGGCCUCUUGCCAUCAGAUGUGCCCAGAUGGGAUUAGCUAGUAGGUGGGGUAAUGGCUCACCUAGGCGACGAUCCCUAGCUGGUCUGAGAGGAUGACCAGCCACACUGGAACUGAGACACGGUCCAGACUCCUACGGGAGGCAGCAGUGGGGAAUAUUGCACAAUGGGCGCAAGCCUGAUGCAGCCAUGCCGCGUGUAUGAAGAAGGCCUUCGGGUUGUAAAGCACUUUCAGCGAGGAGGAAGGUGGUGAGCUUAAUACGCUCAUCAAUUGACGUUACUCGCAGAAGAAGCACCGGCUAACUCCGUGCCAGCAGCCGCGGUAAUACGGAGGGUGCAAGCGUUAAUCGGAAUUACUGGGCGUAAAGCGCACGCAGGCGGUUUGUUAAGUCAGAUGUGAAAUCCCCGGGCUCAACCUGGGAACUGCAUUUGAAACUGGCAGGCUUGAGUCUCGUAGAGGGGGGUAGAAUUCCAGGUGUAGCGGUGAAAUGCGUAGAGAUCUGGAGGAAUACCGNNGGCGA
rnacentral:rRNA from 1 species